GAACUGUGAAAACGUCUCUUACACAGGCUGACCGAUUUCUCUUGGUGUUCAGAGUCUUAGUUUUUGUCUAGCACCAUUUGAAAUCGGUUAUGAUGUAGGGGGAAAAGCAACUACAGUGGA
rnacentral:precursor_RNA from 11 species